GAUUAUAGAUGAUCGGCUAAAUUCGUCCUGUCCUAGGACAACGCCGAUCUGACCCACGUCGUGUGGG
rnacentral:sRNA from 1 species